rnacentral:rRNA from 1 species
CGGAGGUACUCGAGUGGCGAACGGGUGAGUAACACGUGGGUGAUCUGCCCUGCACUCUGGGAUAAGCCUGGGAAACUGGGUCUAAUACCGGAUAGGACCGCACUUUAGUGUGUGUGGUGGAAAGUUUUUUCGGUGUAGGAUGAGCCCGCGGCCUAUCAGCUUGUUGGUGGGGUAAUGGCCUACCAAGGCGGCGACGGGUAGCCGGACUGAGAGGUUGGUCGGCCACAUUGGGACUGAGAUACGGCCCAGA